UACAACAAUGAAUGGAGUUUUGUAAU
rnacentral:piRNA from 1 species